AUUGAACGCUGGCGGCAGGCCUAACACAUGCAAGUCGAACGGUAACAGGAAGAAGCUUGCUUCUUUGCUGACGAGUGGCGGACGGGUGAGUAAUGUCUGGGAAACUGCCUGAUGGAGGGGGAUAACUACUGGAAACGGUAGCUAAUACCGCAUAACGUCGCAAGACUAAAGAGGGGGACCUUCGGGGCCUCUUGCCAUCGGAUGUGCCCAGAUGGGAUUAGCUAGUAGGUGGGGUAACGGCUCACCUAGGCGACGAUCCCUAGCUGGUCUGAGAGGAUGACCAGCCACACUGGAACUGAGACACGGUCCAGACUCCUACGGGAGGCAGCAGUGGGGAAUAUUGCACAAUGGGCGCAAGCCUGAUGCAGCCAUGCCGCGUGUAUGAAGAAGGCCUUCGGUUGUAAGUA
rnacentral:rRNA from 1 species